CAGUCAUGGCCCAGUGGAUAAGGUGAUUGACUGGAGAUCAGAUGGUCGCUGGUUUGAUCCCCAGCUCAACUGG